GAGUUUGAUCCUGGCUCAGAACGUACGCUGGCGGCACGCCUAACACAUGCAAGUCGAACGAAGUAGCAAUACUUAGUGGCAGACGGGUGAGUAACAUGUGGGUAUCUACCCUUUGGCCUGGAAUAACACGAGGAAACUUGUGCUAAUACCGGAUAAGUCUUUACGGAGAAAGCUUUAUGCACCAUUGGAUGAGCCCGCACUUGAUUAGUUUGUUGGUAGGGUAAUGGCCUACCAAGACUAUGAUCAAUAGCUGAUUUGAGAGGAUGAUCAGCCACAUUGGGACUGAGACACGGCCCAAACUCCUACGGGAGGCAGCAGUGGGGAAUCUUGCACAAUGGAGGAAACUCUGAUGCAGCGAUGCCGCGUGAGUGAAGAAGGCCUUUGGGUUGUAAAGCUCUUUCGUCGGGGAAGAAAAUGACUGUACCCGAAUAAGAAGGUCCGGCUAACUUCGUGCCAGCAGCCGCGGUAAUACGAAGGGACCUAGCGUAGUUCGGAAUUACUGGGCUUAAAGAGUUCGUAGGUGGUUGAAAAAGUUGGUGGUGAAAUCCCAGAGCUUAACUCUGGAACUGCCAUCAAAACUUUUCAGCUAGAGUAUGAUAGAGGAAAGCAGAAUUUCUAGUGUAGAGGUGAAAUUCGUAGAUAUUAGAAAGAAUACCAAUUGCGAAGGCAGCUUUCUGGAUCAUUACUGACACUGAGGGACGAAAGCAUGGGUAGCGAAGAGGAUUAGAUACCCUCGUAGUCCAUGCCGUAAACGAUGUGUGUUAGACGUUGGAAAUUUAUUUUCAGUGUCGCAGCGAAAGCGAUAAACACACCGCCUGGGGAGUACGACCGCAAGGUUAAAACUCAAAUGAAUUGACGGGGACCCGCACAAGUAGUGGAGCAUGUGGUUUAAUUCGAAGAUACGCGCAGAACCUUACCAACACUUGACAUGUUCGUCGCGACUCUAAGAGAUUAGAGUUUCGGUUCGGCCGGACGAAACCACAGGUGC
rnacentral:rRNA from 1 species